rnacentral:rRNA from 1 species
CGGCGCGCCUAACACAUGCAAGUCGAACGAGUGGCGUUCCUUCGGGAACAAAGCUAGUGGCGGACGGGUGAGUAACACGUGAGGAACCUGCCUUUCAGAGUGGGAUACCGUUUGGAAACGAACGUUAAUACCGCAUAAUGUAUUUAUGUCGCAUGGCAUUAAUACCAAAGAUUUAUCGCCGAGAGAUGGCCUCGCGUCUGAUUAGAUAGUUGGUGAGGUAACGGCCCACCAAGUCUGCGAUCAGUAGCCGGACUGAGAGGUUGAUCGGCCACAUUGGGACUGAGAUACGGCCCAGACUCCUACGGGAGGCAGCAGUCGGGAAUAUUGGGCAAUGGGGGAAACCCUGACCCAGCAACGCCGCGUGAAGGAAGAAGGCCCUCGGGUUGUAAACUUCUUUUAGCAGGGACGAAGAACGUGACGGUACCUGCAGAAAAAGCAACGGCUAACUACGUG